GAAGGCAUAGGUCUGGAAUCAAUAAUUACAUUUGAUGUCAGAGAUGCCAUAAGGUAUUCAUAAGGAAGUAUGAAACCAUGGAAAGACCCCUACCCUGCCAGGUCUGAUGAUGGAACAUUUUCCCCCCGAAACUUAAAUAAGAACCAGUUCAGUCAGACUGACACCUAAUGGAAACUUUCAUAGGAAAAUAAUUCUGCAAAGGAAAGAAAGCAAUGAGGGAAAUGAUUAAGUUGGAUUCUCCAGAGAGUCACUGGUCUAUUUCCUGCCUCCAAGCAUAUCUGAAACCAAGCUACAACUACACGAAGUGUUGAAUUGCAGAAAUGUGGUCCAAUUGCUAUCUCUACUACCUGUAUUACGG
rnacentral:lncRNA from 1 species